rnacentral:rRNA from 1 species
CAGCCGCCGCGGGAAUACGUAGGGUGCAAGCAUUAAUCGGAAUUACUGGGCGUAAAGCGUGCGCAGGCGGUUAUGCAAGACAGAUGUGAAAUCCCCGGGCUCAACCUGGGACCUGCACUUGUGACUGUAUAGCUAGAGUACGGUAGAGGGGGAUGGAAUUCCGCGUGUAGCAGUGAAAUGCGUAGAUAUGCGGAGGAACACCGAUGGCGAAGGCAAUCCCCUGGACCUGUACUGACGCUCAUGCACGAAAGCGUGGGGAGCAAACAGGAUUAGAUACCCCAGUAGUCCCUGUCUCUUAUAC